CUAAUCAUCUAACCAUUUCAAUCGUCAUAAUAAUAAAACCCAGGUUAGAAAUUCCAACCAGGAUCGUCUUCGUCGUCGCAAGGUGGUGAGGGGAGCCCAAAAGGUGUGGCGCCGGGAAUAGUCAUGCAUCUGUUCUUGUGUACAUCCAUGUGAGUGUGGAUGUAUUCACGAGGACAUGAUUCAUUCCUUUUCCCUCAUCAAGUCUGGACUUUAUUCAUCCAGUUAAAACACCCACUCGAUUAAGAACAGGCGUGGCCUUCGAUAACAGCAUGGGCAAUUUGAUGGAGUAGGAAUUCACAAUAACAGCACCGCACCCUAUGAACCCGAGAUUGUUCUCGAUUAAAACCGGCCCAACCAGGGACAACCGUGGUACAAGUCACUAACAAGAAGAACUUGUACAUUCUUGUGCGGGAUCGUAUUGGUGUUACCAGAUUGCUAGGAGCCCCGAGUACAAUCAUCUAUUAUACAGCGCCAAUGAGUAGCGGUGAACUUCUGUAAGAAAUUAUUGUUUCAUCAGCUUGACAAAGUUGCCGAAUAUUCAUCCGCCCAGGGAUCAACCCAUUUCCGCUAGCGUGCCACACCCAUAGGUAGGACAGGUCCGUCUCUCGAAAAGAAGAUUGGCGUCUGCAUCGUGAUGGCCGAUGGGACCACAGCUGCUAGUUCACUUCCCUGCCAUAAGAAUAUCCAACUACAGGUAGGACUGAUGCUGAAGUGUUGGCAAAACUGCCGAACAUCCCAAAACAACUAAUACGGCCAUCUAUCAACUUGCAUGGUGUUGUAGAGCCACAAUUGUCCAGGACGUGAAUGUUACUCUACGCCAAAAGCGAUUAGCAUUUUUCGGGGCCAUUCAGUUCAAUUGUCGUCAUAUGUGUAAGGUGUUGGCCGUUGGGGCGAAUGGAAUUGUCCGAAGAAUUCCUCAACCUGUCGAAAUGCUGAUGGACAACUUUAUGGCCCGCAAGCAAAAUCAUUACGUGAAGGACUUUUUUCCUCCCCAUUCAGUGAGAUUGACUAUGGUCAUCGGCAGCUUACAUCUACGUCUUCUGAGAAUGGGCGCAAUCAUCACAAUCAAACCGCCAGUACGACUGCAAUUGGCGUUGCACUACGACGCCAAAUGGUUGGACGUUGCCGUGCGAUUGUUGGAAAUAACGGACCAUUUUGUCUUUUUCCGAGAGUCGGCCGUCGGUCCUGCAUUGGCUGCCGAUUUUGUAGGUGCCGUUCUAGGGGAAUUCAACUGUAUUCAGGUAUAUAAGUGAAACUAGUUGGUCU